rnacentral:rRNA from 1 species
AGGACGAACGCUGGCGGCGUGCUUAACACAUGCAAGUGGAGCGACGAACCAGGCUUCGGCCUGGGGCAAAGCCGCGAACGGGUGAGUAACACGUGGGUAACGUGCCCCAAUGACCGGGACAACCCGAGGAAACUCGGGCUAAUACCGGAUGUGCUGCACAGGCGUAAGCCUGUGUAACAAAGGAAGCUUCGGCCUCCGCAUUGGGAGCGGCCCGCGGCCCAUUAGCUUGUUGGUGAGGUAACGGCUCACCAAGGCUGCGAUGGGUAGCUGGUCUGAGAGGACGAUCAGCCACACUGGGACUGAGACACGGCCCAGACUCCUACGGAGGCAGCAGUGGGGAAUCUUGCGCAAUGCGCGAAAGCGUGACGCAGCAACGCCGCGUGAGGGAAGACGGCCUCGGUUGUAAACCCUUUCGACAGGACGAAGCGCAAGUGACGGUACCUGGAGAAGAAGCGCCGGCCAACUACGUGACCAGCAAGCCGC